AUGCUGCAUGUGUACCUUUCUACCAGCUGCAAUCUCACUGAGAAGCAGGCAUUUUCUCUGUUUGCCUCAGUCAUGAAAACAACCAACAGUUAUCUGGGUUAUAUCAGAAUUCCCUUAUACUUUGUUUUUCUUUCCAGGGUUCUCCAGGGGAACGUGGAGCAGCGGGCACUGCUGGCCCAAUUGGUCUUCCAGGUCGUCCUGGACCUCAGGGUCCUCCAGGCCCCGCAGGGGAGAAGGGUGCUCCUGGUGAAAAAGGUCCUCAAGGUCCAGCUGGACGUGAUGGAAUACAGGGUCCUGUAGGACUUCCUGGUCCUGCUGGUCCUAGUGGUUCUCCUGGAGAAGAUGGUGACAAGGGUGAAAUUGGUGAACCAGGUCAGAAAGGUAGUAAAGGCGACAAAGGAG
rnacentral:lncRNA from 1 species